rnacentral:lncRNA from 1 species
GAGCAUAGUGUAAACACCUUCCUGGAAUUGCAGAGGAAGAAAGUUCAUCGCUAUGUGAUUUUUAAAAUUGAUGAGAAAAAGAAAGAGGUUAUCGUUGAAAAAACUGGAGGCCCUGCUGAGAGCUAUGAUGAUUUCACUGCAUCCUUGCCUGAAAAUGAUUGCCGAUACGCUGUCUUUGACUUUGAUUUUGUGACAUCUGAGAACUGCCAAAAGAGCAAAAUCUUUUUUAUUGCAUGGUUAGUCACUUAGUUUCUUGUACAACCAUAGAAUUGCAUAUUGUAUUAACUCAUUGAUUUCUGUAUACACUGUUUUACAUGUGUGAAUAUAUUGCACUUGCAUAUCUUGCUCUCAAGUAAUUUAUCAAAAAAAAAAAAAUCUUGCUCUCAAGUCCUGAAAUACAAAUUAUUAUCAUGAAUAUUAUGAUUUUGCUCAUCAUGAGUUAAGACAAAAAUCUUAGAGUGUAUCAUGAAUAUUAUGACUUUGCUCAUCUAAAGAAGCAUAUAUGGGUACAGUGGAAAGCAGAUGCAUAAUGUAAAUUCUGUACAGUGAUGUUAUUCUCUAGUAUAUCUACAUAUGAUUCCAAUCGUUUACAAUCUUAAUUUUUUUCUUCUGAUGGACAAACAUAGUUUUAUUAAAAUGAGUACAAGGGUACUCAAACCCUCUACAAGGACCAGACCAAAUAAAUCAAGUGCAGGUCCAAAACUAACAGCAUUGUCUUAUACAAGUAAAAGGAUCAAUGUACCAAUCAGAAUCUAUUCAUCUGGAAAACCAUGAUCGAGAUUGAGCAUUUGUGAGAUCCCUUAACCUCACCAUAUCAAAGGCUGAGUUUUGGAAAACAGUCUCAUUUUGCAACAGCCAUAUUGACCAAACUACAGCAUGCUAGAAAAUAUGGCAAGCCUUUUUUACUUAAUUUCUCUAACCAUACUUCCAUGCUGAAGAUAAUGAAAUUUGACCAUGAUGAGGCAUAAAUACAGAAAACCCAAGCCAAAUGUAAAGUAAAGACCUCACAUGAUUAGAGACACGAACACAAAAGGAAUAAGUGAUAAGAAUCCUCCUGAUGAACAUUACACAGUUCACAAUAGAGCCCAUGUAAAUUGUCUAUGAUUCCCCUCCCAAAUAAAGCCAAAUGAGUAGAUAGUGAGCUUUAUCUUACUUCUGGAUCCAAUCUUUCCUCUCAUUUUUAGAUAGUGAAAUGUAGGAACAUAAAUUACACAAUACUACCAAAAGGUUUUCCUCCCACACAAACAAUUUACCCCUUCACCUCCAUUACUAACACCAAACAUCCCCUAGCUGCUCACCAUGUCAAUAAUGAAACAGUCCUUAUCCUCUGUAAUUAGAAACAACCUAGAGAAAGAGGCUUUGAGGAUUGAUGAGCCUAACCGUGUAUCAUGCCAAAAUUUAACCUCUCCACUCCUCUUUACUUUGAGAGAAAACCAUAAAGGGUUAACAUCUGUAAAACAUUCAACACUACAUAACAGUACUCAUUGAAAACAUUCGACACUAUCUUAAUAUAAUUAAUAUUCUAUUCUUAAUAAUACCUAUUCUUAUUCUUCUUGUCAUGGCCUAUCCUAAAUACACCAGAGGCAGAGGACUCAAGAAUAAGUAUUUUAACAAAUUCUUAAAUCUGAAUUGUUGCAUGUAUUUAAAAGACAGACUUAUUUUGCAUUCUCUCUUGUGUAGCAAUUAAAUAGACUUCUGUAUAUUUCUUUUCAUAAAAAAUGCUCAACAAUUUGUUACCUAGCUUGUAGCUGCUCCAUUGAAUCUCUCAUUCUAGUUCUCAGUGUGUUUUGUUCUUUGGAUUGUCUAACAUUAGAUCAUUACUUACCUAGAUCUUUACCAAUCAUAAAUUUUGCUAGAAAACUAUACAGAGAAUAGUGCAUAAGUUUGAAUAAUUGAACUGUUUUCUCCAGACUCUAGUUAUUGGAAUUACAUAAUUUGAAAUGAAUUUCCUUUCUUGAAGUCACGGGAUGGAAUCUAGAUUUUGGUAAAACUGUCAAGUAUUUAAGUUUCUCUUUGUUUAUUAUGAUUUGGAAAAAAAGAAUAAACUUAGUAUAAAUGGAAUGUGUCGAGUCACUGGUUGGCAUGAGAGGUUUGUUGUUUUGAUGGUUUGUUUUUUGAAGGUAGAAGGACUUCUAAUCUUUUGAUUUGGGAUCUGAGUGAUAUUUGGUAUGUGCAAGUUUUUUAUCAGAUGGAAUCGAACAAAACUUAUUACUGAGGUAGGUACAUAUUGUUAUAUUUUCAAAUGGAGUAGUGGCAUGCUGUAAUGGAAUUGUUUAGAUAUUUUCAAGCAAAAUUGAACUUCAAUUACUCUAAUACCUUGUUGAACUGGGGACCGUAUGUAAGACUAUAAAUAUGUUUUCCCUCUACUAGACUUAUCCACUGGUAUGCUCCUUCUUCGGCUUUGAGACUCCUUUUUUAGCUAAUUAGUUGUUUUUUCCCCCUAUUUCCAGUAGUUGAUUAUGUUUUGUUGUCCUCACUAAACGCAUGCGAUAGUUUUCGAUUACCUUUCACUUCACACAAACUCUUGUGUCAAAUGUCUGCAUAUAGUAACCAUCUUCUCAGCCAUUUCUUAAUUUUUGUGCUUAUUAUCUUUUCGGUGUUUUGACUAUUUUAUACAUUGAGCAUGUGACAAGAUAGACAACCUUGAAAGAAUUGUUGGGACAGUAUCAAAGUAUGAUUCAGUUACUUUCUACUUGCAAUUGAAUAUGGAGAGCUUAUCUUGACACUUACGGAGAAAAUUCACCUUCUAUUUAAUGCUGUUGGACUAAACCAGAGGAAGCUUCUCUUAAAUAAUUUGGCACAUAUGUUAUUGCCUUUAUUCUGCUUUUCAGUUUCUGAAUUGAUUAUUUUACAGGUCUCCUUCAGUGGCCCGCAUUCGCCCGAAGAUGCUAUAUGCAACAUCCAAGGACAGGUUCAGAAGGGAGCUGCAGGGCAUCCAUUAUGAGAUUCAGGCAACAGACCCAACAGAGAUGGAUCUUGAAGUCCUCAGAGAACGUGCAAACUGAGCAGUCACCUACACAAGAGGCUUGUGUCUAGGUGAUGUAGUUAGAAUAUCUGAGGCCUCAGGGAAUGAUGUUGACUGAUGAUACCCUUUAGUUUUUCUACUAUGAUCCCUGUCUGUUUCGACCUAUUUCUCGUAAAUUAGCUGACUUGUCAUUUAUCAAGUAAAUAACCUGCACCUGUGAAGGCUGAUCAGGGGUUCCUGCCUAAGAAACCCCACUGCAGGGGAAUUUAUGCUUUUCCUUAUUGCCAUGAUGCUUCUCAGGUGCAGAUUAAUACAGUAAUCGCUAUUGGAAAUUCGACUUAUAUUAUAUGAAUUUCAAAUAGACGCAAUUGGUGAGUCUACUUUGUUACAUGCAAAUCCAGUUAUGGGUUUGUUUUUGUUGCAUGUUCCAGCGUUGGAAC